UCUUGGCUCCACUAGAGGAAGUAAAAGUCGUAACAAGGUUUCCGUAGGUGAACCUGCGGAAGGAUCAUUACCAUGGGGCUCCGGCCCCGUCAAGAUACCACCCCCCGCACUUCGAGCACCUUCUGUUUCCUCGGCGGGCCCGCCCGCCAACGGGGACCACACCAAAACCUUCUGUAGUUGCAGUAAACGUCUAAAAAACAAAUAAAUCAAAACUUUCAACAACGGAUCUCUUGGUUCUGGCAUCGAUGAAGAACGCAGCGAAAUGCGAUAAGUAGUGUGAAUUGCAGAAUUCAGUGAAUCAUCGAAUCUUUGAACGCACAUUGCGCCCUUUGGUAUUCCUUAGGGCAUGCCUGUUCGAGCGUCAUCUAAACCUUCAAGCACUGCUUGGUGUUGGGCGCUUGUCGUCCGCCCUGUCCAGGGCGGGGACUCGCCUCAAAAGCAUUGGCGGCCCGUGUAUCGGCUUCGAGCGCAGCAGAAACUCGCGUCUCGCAUGCCACCCGCGCGGGCGUCCAUCAAGACACACCCCAAAGUUUGACCUCGGAUCA
rnacentral:rRNA from 1 species